UACGGAGGAUGCAAGCGUUAUCCGGAAUUAUUGGGCGUAAAGCGUCCGCAGGUGGCAGUUCAAGUCUGCUGUCAAAGACCGGGGCUUAACUUCGGAAAGGCAGUGGAAACUGAACAGCUAGAGUAUGGUAGGGGCAGAGGGAAUUCCUGGUGUAGCGGUGAAAUGCGUAGAGAUCAGGAAGAACAUCGGUGGCGAAGGCGCUCUGCUGGACCAUAACUGACACUCAGGGACGAAAGCUAGGGGAGCGAAUGGG
rnacentral:rRNA from 1 species